AAAUAAAUAAAUCUUUAAAAAAAAAAGAGUAUAAGAACAUUUAUUUCAGUAUUGGGAAACCCUAAUAUUAAUCUAAUAUUCAUACCAAGUUAGGUAGCAUAAGCUCAUUAAAAUUCCAAGUUUCAUUGUUCCUGAUUGUAAUUACACCAAUUCAGUUUAGUAAAAUUACAUACCUCUUACUGAUUAAUAAAAACAGAAGCAAGAAUUGUCAUAAUCAUGUUAUUAUCUGGCUAUCAUUAUUGCAAAGUAACAAUCAAAGAUCACGUAAUUGCAAUAUGCUUAUAAAAACUCAGAUACUUCAAUGCAUCACAGUGUACAGCAUGUUUAGGAAUAGUGCACUUAAAAAAAAGGAAUAAUGCAUUUACUUCACCAUUCCCAAUGCAGGUGAGAACCAUCCUUCUCUAUGUUAAGGAAAAAAACCAAAGUUACAAAUACAUACAAUAUGUUUUUUACCUUGAACACUAACGCUUCGUUAAAAUCUUUAUUAGGGAACUGGAAAAUAUUAAUGUUCUUCUCUGUCUCCCCCACUAAACUGUAAGUUUCAUAAGUCAUGAAUCCUCCCUAUCUUUCUCAGAGCUUCAUCUCCAGAGUGUGGCAUAGCACGUGGAACACAAUAGGUGAGUGGUGUGGGGCAAAGCACAUUGACUUUGGAGUCAAAACCCUGGGAAUCAGAAUCAGACAUUUUCUCUGCAUUACAUGGACUAAAUAUGUAUUCCAUUACCUCUGAUUCUUGGUUUGCAUUCUUCCAGGUAUUCCAGGCCCGGAGGCCAAGUACCUCUUGGUGUAACCAUAAAACAGUAUCAGUAGGUCAAAGAAAGCAGAGUAAGAAUUAACUUUAUGAUGAGCACACAGGUCCUUUUUUAAUGGCUAUCUUCUGUAUCUCAAAGAUACCCCAGGAGAAAUGAGGGAAGUGAAUACUUUCUCACCAAAAUUCCACAAAUAAAGAAAUCAGAAAAAACGCUAAUGUGACAAAAGAAGAGAAUGCCUGAAGGUCUAGUCUCAAGACAGGUCAAGACUCAUAAAAACAAAGCCUGAGAGAAAGCCACCAGAUUGCAUAGCCAUGUGUUCCUCUCCUUGACUCCAGGACCAUGCCCAGGAGGAGGGCAUGAAGCAGCAUUUCAGGCAAUUGGCAGUGAACAACUAGCGGAAUCUCUUUCUUACAUAACAGUUUUUCUUUUUCUUUUAAUGUAUUUAUUUUCUCCUCCCUCUUGCUGCCUUCUGCUGUGCCAGACAAAGAUGCCUAUGGUUAUUUGGCACGACUAGUAAAGGAGCUAAAAGUGGCUUUUCGGUACUUCAUAGACUAUAAAUGAAUCCCAAAUUAAAAAAACAAUCAGCAUGAGUCAAGAUACAGGCAUCUUUCAGGCAUUAUCAUAAGAACCAGAAGAGAGAUGGGAAAGUGGCUAAGGAAUAGAAAGCCACAGAGCUCUGGAAGAAAAAUCAAAUGUAACAAGUACAGUCAAAUACAACAGAAAUCACAGGAAUGGCAACAUCUUUUUUUUAAGUUCAGUUUAUAAAAUCCAACCAUCUGCAUAAUUCUACCUUUGUCUAGUAAACUGCAAAUGUUGUAGGAAACACUAUGAUCUCAUUCAAAAAUAGGUUUUUCAAUAGACAUUUCUGCAGAUUUACUCUAGUGAGAGUUUAAAAACAAAUCAAUCGAGGCAGCUCAGAACAAAAUAACAGGUUGGAUCCACACACCUACUCAUAUUAACACUGUCUGCAGCAUGUGGAAUCAUUCAUGAUUUAAUUUUCCCCCUAAGUCUAAAAUAUAUUUGUAUUUAGUGUGUAUGUAUAUAGAAAUAUUUUAUUCAUCCAAAUUAUUCUACAAUUGAGGUUCUAUUUUCAUCUAUAUUUGAAGAUGACAGUAUGCACCAAAUACUAAAAUUAAAGAUCAAGAUUAGAAAUGGUGCCAGGUAUGACCAAGUUCUCAUAAUUUAUAACUGGUAAAGGAAGAAAUAAAUUAUAACCGCCAUAGACUAAAUUAUUUGUUAGCACUUAUUAUUGUUCUCUUAUGAAGAUACUACAAGAGUAUUUUUCAUCUUCUGGACAAGUAAGUAAGAUGGGUGUUUAUAUCUCCAAUAGAAGUGAACACAGAAGAAUGAAAUGAAACCCAAUCUUCCUGGUCUGUACAAAGCCAUGUUACUGAGCAAGUCAUCCAUUGCCCUAAAUAAACAAGUCCAUCUUCUCUUUCCUAGACUAUAGAUAUCAAAUGAUUUCUUAGUCCCUUCCUCAGAGACUAGUGGCAGAUUGGUAAGAAAAUGAAAUACAAGCUGGCCCAUCCUACUGCACUCAAGUAGUUUCAACAUGGCAUAUAAAAAGAUGCUUGGGUGGCCUAGUGAGUUAAGCGUCUGACUCUUGAUUUUUGCUCAGGUCAUGAUCUCAGAGUUGUGAGAUCGAGUUCUGUGUCCGGUUCUGCACUGGGCAUGGAGCCUGCUUAAGAUUUUCUACCCUCUUUUCUCUAUCCCUUCUCCCUCUCUAAGAAAAAAGAAAAGAAAAGAAAAUGAAAAGAAUACACUUAAUAUUCCUGGAGAGAAGUUUGGGUCCCUCAGGGUUUAUUUCAGCCAUACUAUGUCUCCCUAUCUUACUAGAGCAAAAUAAUAUGGCCUACUCUCUGGCCACAGAAAGUUUACUAAUAAUUAUAUCAGCUAACAGUAAUAUAAAUCUUGCAUGGAGCACUCCUAACCAUGCCAAAAGCCAUGACAAACUAUAUAUACACUUGAAUGUUCUGAAAAACUAUCAGAGAAAAUUCUCCUUUACUUGUCAUGUUUCUCUCAAACCCUUGAAUAUUAUUUUAAUUUCCAACACAUGGAAAGAAGUUUCAGAUAAAAUCUACAUUUUCAGAGAAAGCCUGUAGGUCAGUUAGAACAGAGAGAUGUCCAUAAUGACUCUGAAUGCUUCACACUAUUUCAGUGGGUAACAAAUAAGCCACACAUGUGGCCAUGACAAUUGUUAAGUUCCCUUACCACAUUUCUAGACAGGUAGAAAGUUCAGAGUUCUCAGGAAUUUGGGGCAUGAUGCCUCUACAAACAGGCUGAGGAGUAGUCCCUUACAAGGACAGGCUAAGCAGUCUCUUUUGCUCAACAAACAGGUUACUUAACAACCACAGAAAAUAUAUGUCAUUUGUCUCUGGGCAUGGUCUAGCUUAGCCCCAUCAGGUAUUCUGUGACUCUAAGAAUUUUUUAAAAAAUUAGUCUCAUUUGUAAAACUACAAUACAUAGAUGUACUAAUAAAAAAAUUGUUGGGGGGGGGGGCACCCAGGUGGCUCAGUGGUUGAGCAUAUGCCUUUGGCUCAGGUGAUGA